rnacentral:tRNA from 1 species
UUUCCUGUAGUUGAAUAACAACGGNUGGUUUUUCAAGCCAUUAGKUCCUGGUUAAAAUCCUGGCAGGAAUA